rnacentral:tRNA from 1 species
GUCUUGAUAGCUCAGUUGGUAGAGCAUGGCGCUUGCAACACCAGGGUUGUGGGUUCGAUUCCCACGGGGGACC